ACAGCAGCAGCCGCGGGAAUACAGAGGGUGCGAGCGUUAAUCGGAUUUACUGGGCGUAAAGCGUGCGUAGGCGGCUUCUUAAGUCGGAUGUGAAAUCCCUGAGCUUAACUUAGGAAUUGCAUUCGAUACUGGGAAGCUAGAGUAUGGGAGAGGAUGGUAGAAUUCCAGGUGUAGCGGUGAAAUGCGUAGAGAUCUGGAGGAAUACCGAUGGCGAAGGCAGCCAUCUGGCCUAAUACUGACGCUGAGGUACGAAAGCAUGGGGAGCAAACAGGAUUAGAUACCCGUGUAGUCCCUGUCUCUUAUCC
rnacentral:rRNA from 1 species